GACAGAGGCCUCGAGCGUUAGGCGGAAUCACUGGGCUUAAAGCGUGUGUAGGCGGACGCCUAAGUACCUUGUGAAAUCCCACGGCUCACCCGUGGAACCGCUGGGUAUACUGGGCGUCUUGGGCCAUUCAGGGGCAACUGGAACAAGCGGUGGAGCGGUGAAAUGCGUAGAUAAUCGCUUGGAACGCCGGAAGGUGAAAACAGGGUUGCUGGGGUU
rnacentral:rRNA from 1 species